ACCUCCAGCAGCUGGGGUCCAGGAUAAGGAGUUAACUGUUGGACAGAGUUCCGAGACUUCAGCAUCUACUGUUAACAUUCAGAAGACAGGCAGGGGACAGUAUGUUCCUGUUGGAGUUGAGUGAGGGGCCGCUGUCUCUGACCCAGCGCGCCAAGACUCUGCUGCUUUAGAGAGCAGAAGCACUGUGGAAAGUGUGCACCACUGGCCUGCUCCGACAUGCACUCACACACAGCCUGCCGCACAUGCACACAAGAACUCAGAAGUGAGUUUGCUCAAUGAAGUUUUGUUUGUCACCUAUCAGGAUUUAGGUUCCCGCUGAUUUUAUUUACAAUCCCAUGCACAGUUUCCUUUGAGCUACACCUGGUGAAUGACAGGAAACACAUACCUUUAUUUUCUAAAACCCAGAGCACGCUUAAGUAAGAAACAGGUAAAUGUUCCCCACUUUUGCAUAAAAAUGUGCAAUAUCCUUAUAUUUAUUUGUUACCCCUCCAUCCUUGUACAUCCCUGUAUCUUGCUCAAUUCUAUUCCAUUAUCAUCUAUAGCACAACUGUUUAUACAAUUUUUAUUUUUUUAUUUUUUUGUCUGUGUGUUGUUGUCUCUGUGUACUGGAAGCUUAUGUCACUAAAACAAAUUCCUUGUAUGCGCAAGCAUACUUGGCAAUAAUGCUCUUUCUGAUUCUGAUUCUGAUUAUAUCAAAUAUCAUGUUUACCAAGUAUCAUUAUUUCCAUUGAUGCUAUCUGUCUUCUAGGCAGGGGACAGUAUGUUCCUGUUGGAGUUGAGUGAGGGGCCGCUGUCUCUGACCCAGCGCGCCAAGACUCUGCUGCUUUAGAGAGCAGAAGCACUGUGGAAAGUGUGCACCACUGGCCUGCUCCGACAUGCACUCACACACAGCCUGCCGCACAUGCACACAAGAACUCAGAAAACCCCUGGCCACUCUAGCUGGAGCAUACCACGAUGUGACAGGGGUGCAUUUGGACACCGUGUGGCAGCAAGGGGUGCAGCUGUGGACCAGAGAGUUGAUGGACCUUUUGCUUACAAUACUUCACGAUCCUCACCUGAGGGCACCGUUGCUGACCGCAUUGCAAGUUGUGAUCUUUGCAAUGGAAAUGGUGAGCCAGCAGACCUUUCAGUGGAUGGAGGCCGAUCGGCUGCCAUGCUAGUGGGUCAGAAGACAGCUUGCACUAAUGAACAAGACCUCUAA
ensembl:lncRNA